rnacentral:rRNA from 1 species
CCCUUAGAUGUUCUGGGCCGCACGCGUGCUACACUGACAUAUCCAACGAGUAAAUUCUAUUGACCUUACUAGAGAUGGUUAGGUAAUCUUUUUGAAUAUAUGUCGUGAUAGGAAUAGUAGAUUGUAAUUAUUGUACUUGAACGAGGAAUUCCUAGUAAUCGCAAUUCAACAAAUUGCGAUGAUUACGUCCCUGCCCCUUGUACACACCGCCCGUCGCUGCUACCGAUGGAUGGUCCGGUGAAAUCUUUGGAUUGGAAAGAAUAAGUAGCUCUUGUGGUUACUUCUUUUUGAAAAAUUGAUUAAACCUUAUCAUCUAGAGGAAGCAAAAGUCGUAACA